GCGGACGGCUCAGUAACACGUGGCUAACCUACCCUCGGGUGGGGGAUAACCUCGGGAAACUGAGGGUAAUACCCCAUAGGAGAAGAGGUCUGGAAUGAUCCUUCUCUGAAAACAUAUGUGCCCGAGGAUGGGGCUGCGUCUGAUUAGGUAGUUGGUGGGGUAACGGCCCACCAAGCCUACGAUCAGUACGGGCCUUGAGAGAGGCAGCCCGGAGAUGGGGACUGAGACACGGCCCCAGGCCCUACGGGGCGCAGCAGGCGCGAAACCUCCGCAAUGCACGAAAGUGCGACGGGGGGACCCCAAGUGCUUACGCACUGCGUAGGCUUUUCUAAAGUGUAAAAAGCUUUAGGAAUAAGGGCUGGGCAAGUCCGGUGCCAGCAGCCGCGGUAACACCGGCGGCCCGAGUGGUGACCACUUUUAUUGGGCCUAAAGCGUCCGUAGCCGGUCCAGUAAGUCCCUGUUUAAAUCCUACGGCUUAACCGUAGGGCUGGCAGGGAUACUGCUGGACUUGGGACCGGGAGAGGGCGAGGGUACUUCAGGGGUAGCGGUGAAAUGUGUUGAUCCCUGGAGGACCACCUAUGGCGAAGGCACUCGCCUGGAACGGGUCCGACGGUGAGGGACGAAAGCCAGGGGCGCGAACCGGAUUAGAUACCCGGGUAGUCCUGGCCGUAAACUCUGCGGACUAGGUGUUAGGUAGGCCCCGUGCCUAUCUAGUGCCGAAGGGAAGCCGUUAAGUCCGCCGCCUGGGGAGUACGGUCGCAAGACUGAAACUUAAAGGAAUUGGCGGGAAUCACUAGUGCG
rnacentral:rRNA from 1 species